CGCCUSSUGACCGAACAUAGGAGGUCCAGCCUGCCCAGUGACAACAUUCAACGGCCGCGGUAUACUAACCGUGCGAAGGUAGCAUAAUCACUUGUUCUUUAAAUAAGGACUUGUAUCAACGGCAUCACGAGGACUAUACUGUCUCCCCUCUCCAAUCAGUGAAACUGAUCUCCCCGUGAAGAAGCGGGGAUUAGUAUAUAAGACGAGAAGACCCCAUGGAGCUUUAAACCCAAUAUACACCCCUUCGCUCAAGCACCAAUUUAACCUCAAGAGCCUGUAUAUUGGUUUUAGGCUGGGGGGGCCACGGAGUAAAAUUAAACCUCCACAACAAAUGGGCUAAUUACCCUUAUCCACGACUUACAAAUCUAAGAAUCAUCAAAAUGAUGUUUAAUGACCCGAUAAUUCGAUCAUUGAACCAAGUUACCCUGGGGAUAACAGCGCAAUCCGCUUCAAGAGCCCAUAUCGACAAGCGGGUUUACGACCUCGAUGUUGGAUCAGGGUACCCCAGUGGUGCAACCGCUACUAACGGUUCGUUUGUUCAACGAUUAAAACCCU
rnacentral:rRNA from 1 species